GCCCCUCACAUUCUGCUUCA
rnacentral:misc_RNA from 1 species